GCUGGCGGCAUGCCUAACACAUGCAAGUCGAACGAGACCUUCGGGUCUAGUGGCGCACGGGUGCGUAACGCGUGGGAAUCUGCCCUCUGGUACGGAAUAACUCAGGGAAACUUGAGCUAAUACCGUAUAAUGACUUCGGUCCAAAGAUUUAUCGCCUGAGGAUGAGCCCGCGUCGGAUUAGCUAGUUGGUGAGGUAAAAGCUCACCAAGGCGACGAUCCGUAGCUGGUCUGAGAGGAUGAUCAGCCACACUGGGACUGAGACACGGCCCAGACUCCUACGGGAGGCAGCAGUGGGGAAUAUUGGACAAUGGGCGAAAGCCUGAUCCAGCAAUGCCGCGUGAGUGAUGAAGGCCUUAGGGUUGUAAAGCUCUUUUACCCGGGAUGAUAAUGACAGUACCGGGAGAAUAAGCCCCGGCUAACUCCGUGCCAGCAGCCGCGGUAAUACGGAGGGGGCUAGCGUUGUUCGGAAUUACUGGGCGUAAAGCGCACGUAGGCGGCUUUGUAAGUUAGAGGUGAAAGCCCGGGGCUCAACUCCGGAAUUGCCUUUAAGACUGCAUCGCUAGAAUUGUGGAGAGGUAAGUGGAAUUCCGAGUGUAGAGGUGAAAUUCGUAGA
rnacentral:rRNA from 1 species